rnacentral:rRNA from 1 species
UACGGAGGGGGCUAGCGUUGUUCGGAAUUACUGGGCGUAAAGGGCUCGUAGGCGGCCAACUAAGUCGGAUGUGAAAUCCCCAGGCUCAACCUGGGAACUGCAUCCGAUACUGGAUGGCUUGAAUUCGGGAGAGGGAUGCAGAAUUCCAGGUGUAGCGGUGAAAUGCGUAGAUAUUGGGAGGAACACCAGUGGCGAAGGCGGCUACCUGGACCGGUUCUGACGCUGAGGCGCGAAAGCGUGGGUAGCAAACAGG